UACGUAGGGUGCGAGCGUUGUCCGGAAUUAUUGGGCGUAAAGAGCUUGUAGGCGGUUUGUCGCGUCUGCCGUGAAAAUCCGGGGCUCAACCCCGGACUUGCGGUGGGUACGGGCAGACUAGAGUGUGGUAGGGGAGACUGGAAUUCCUGGUGUAGCGGUGAAAUGCGUAGAUAUCAAGUGGAACACCAGUGGCGAAGGCGAGUCCCUGGACAAGACCCGACACUGAGGCACGAAAGCCAGGGGAGCAAACAGG
rnacentral:rRNA from 1 species